rnacentral:rRNA from 1 species
CCUACGGGUGGCAGCAGUGGGGAAUAUUGCACAAUGGGCGCAAGCCUGGUGCAGACAUGCCGCGUGUGUGAAGAAGGCCUUCGGGUUGUAAAGCACUUUCAGCGGGGAGGAAGGCGGUGAGGUUAAUAACCUCAUCGAUUGACGUUACCCGCAGAAGAAGCACCGGCUAACUCCGUGCCAGCAGCCGCGGUAAUACGGAGGGUGCAAGCGUUAAUCGGAAUUACUGGGCGUAAAGCGCACGCAGGCGGUCUGUCAAGUCGGAUGUGAAAUCCCCGGGCUCAACCUGGGAACUGCAUUCGAAACUGGCAGGCUAGAGUCUUGUAGAGGGGGGUAGAAUUCCAGGUGUAGCGGUGAAAUGCGUAGAGAUCUGGAGGAAUACCGGUGGCGAAGGCGGCCCCCUGGACAAAGACUGACGCUCAGGUGCGAAAGCGUGGGGAGCAAACAGGAUUAGAUACCCCAGUAGUC